UACGAAGGGGGCUAGCGUUGCUCGGAAUCACUGGGCGUAAAGGGUGCGUAGGCGGGUCUUUUAAGUCAGGGGUGAAAUCCUGGAGCUCAACUCCAGAACUGCCUUUGAUACUGAAGAUCUUGAGUUUCGGGAGAGGUGAGUGGAACUGCGAGUGUAGAGGUGAAAUUGUAGAUAUUCGCAAGAACACCAGUGGCGAAGGCGGCUCACUGGCCCGAUACUGACGCUGAGGCACGAAAAGCGUGGGGGAGCAAACAGG
rnacentral:rRNA from 1 species